rnacentral:lncRNA from 1 species
UUUCUACUUUUUUACUUAGGAUGUACUUAGGUGAGGUUUUGGAAUUUGUGUCAAAUGUUCGGACUCAUUGGAGUUUUUCCAUACAAUACAAUGUAAAAUAUUUUGCCCCAUAACACCCAUUUAUUUUUUCAUAUAAGACUUAAUAGCUCAUGAAAGGUCAUUUACCAAAAUUUUAAAAGAUUCUUUAUUUUCUUUCUUUUAUUUUGAGACCCGUAUCAUACCAAUGCAAAUAUAAGGUAAAAGUCCGAGUCAGCCUUUUCCCGUCAUAUUUUAAAUCUCAAAUAUCUCGAAAAGGAGGUCCAUGACCUAUUAAUAUUUUUAGCUUAUCUUUAUCCUUCAUUGAUGCUCUACCAGCUUAUAGUAUCAAUUUUAAUUUCUUAAUUUCUUAAUUUUUACCUAACCUCACCUAAGUACAUCCUUAA